UGGACGAACCUCUGGUGCACCAGUUGUCGCGCCAGCGGCACAGCUGGGUAGCCAUGUUCGGAUGGGAUAAGCGCUGAAGGCAUCUAAGCGCGAAGCCCACCUCAAGAUGAGAUUUCCCAUAGCGUUAAGCUAGUAAGACCCCUGGAAGAACACCAGGUUGAUAGGCCAGAGGUGUAAGCGUCGUAAGGCGUUUAGCUGACUGGUACUAAUAGGUCGAGGGCUUGAUCAU
rnacentral:rRNA from 1 species